ensembl:lncRNA
AUGAACCGCUCGGCCGAGGGGGAUCCCUGCCCCCACCCCCACUGCGGUCCCGCCGGCUGCGGCUCCGCGAUAAGGGGGCGGCCGCGUCCCGCCCCCGCCCCUCGGGAGCACCAGCCACGCAAGAUGAAUAUCCCGCCGCCGUCACAAAGCGGGCCUGCGGUCCCUGCCGCGCCCCGCGCCGGGCCGGUUCGCUUACAGCCACGCUCGCUCGGCUCCUCUGUUGCGACGCUAGGUAAAGCCGAGAGAUCCGCGGAGGGCGGGGAGCCGCCGAAAGCGCGCCUCCAGAGCGGCCCUCCCGCCGCGCGCCCGGCCGGGUCCGCGGGCCCGACCAGCAGCCCCGCACAAGGUCACCGCUCGCCGCGACGGGUACGCGCACCCCCGCCUCGCACGCGCUCCCGGCUGGGGCGCGCCCGCACACUCCCGGGGCCGCCCCUGCGACCUUGGUCCCCAGAGACAGCGGGCCGCGUGGGGGCGCGCUCGGAGCAGGGAGACCCGAGCCACGGGCGGGGGUGCGUGAGGGGACAAUGGCGGCGCCGGGCCCUAAUUGGGGACAUAUGUCCCCGCGCGCGGCCAUUGUGCGGCCCGGAACUCCCCGCACCCCCGCGCCAGCCAUUGGUCACUGGGCCUGACGUCAUGCGGGCUGCAAACUCUGGGCGGGCGGCCGGGGGAAGGGUUAUCCGCCUGGUUGCGGGGCCGCGUGGGGGAGCUGCAGGCGCGCGGGAGGGCGGAAAACCACCAGUGAAACCGAAUUUCUGGAGCAAGGGCACAGCAGCCCCUCUCCGCCUUCACACUCCUCUCGCUGCGACGCCGCUGCGCUCGACCUCCGCCCCUUGGGGGAAGGGCGGGGGUGCAGAAGGCCUCUCCAGCGGGCACGGGGUCAGCCCGGGUGACCGAGCGGCAGGGACACACUGCGGCACGGGGUGCGCGCAGCACUUCCACACGGCGCUUUCGCUGCCUCAGCAUUCGCUGCUUCUCCGCUCGCCUCCCCCACCUGCCCCCGCAGAUCCCUCGCCUCCACACCCGACAGCUGGGCUGGCCGGACCGACCAUUCUGGGGUCCGCCCUGUGUUCUUCCCUCAAAGAUCCCGAGUCCGGGCUCGUGGGCCCCAGGCCUGCUCCCACCUCUCCUCCCACGCCGCACAAUGCUGCGGACAUCUGGGCCUCCGUUCCCGGAACCUCUCGGGGGAACUCCACACGAGCUGGAGCCGCGGCAUCCCCAAGACCCCUCCCAGGAGACCCUGGCGGGGGCCAGGCCCCGCGCAGCCAUUUCCGCCGUCCUCUCCCCCAUCCCUCCCUCCCCCUGCUGUCGCUCCUGGGCUUUAAAAGCCGGAGGCUGGGCCGGGCCGCAGGCAGAGGCGGCCGCGGGCGCAGGAGGCUGGGCCCGGGAGCUGUCCGAGCGCCGAGCCCCGCCCCCGAAGCCCCCAUCCCUCCCUCCCACCUUCCCUCGGCCCGCCCUCCCCGAGCACCCCUCCCCCCCAGGACCCCCGCCCCCCGCCCGCCGCCGUCGCCGCCGCCGCUCGCUCCGGCUGCAGAACAAUAA